AUUGAACGCUGGCGGCAGGCCUAACACAUGCAAGUCGAGCGGCAGAAGGGAGCUUGCUCCUGGAUUCAGCGGCGGACGGGUGAGUAAUGCCUAUGAAUCUGCCUGGUAGUGGGGGAUAACGUCCGGAAACGGGCGCUAAUACCGCAUACGUCCUGAGGGAGAAAGUGGGGGAUCUUCGGACCUCACGCUAUCAGAUGAGCCUAGGUCGGAUUAGCUAGUUGGUGGGGUAAAGGCCUACCAAGGCGACGAUCCGUAACUGGUCUGAGAGGAUGAUCAGUCACACUGGAACUGAGACACGGUCCAGACUCCUACGGGAGGCAGCAGUGGGGAAUAUUGGACAAUGGGCGAAAGCCUGAUCCAGCCAUGCCGCGUGUGUGAAGAAGGUCUUCGGAUUGUAAAGCACCUUAAGUUGGGAGGAAGGGCAGUAAGUUAAUACCUUGCUGUUUUGACGUUACCAACAGAAUAAGCACCGGCUAACUUCGUG
rnacentral:rRNA from 1 species